AGACCUCGUUUUCUAUCAUUGUAUUGUGUAAUAUAUCAAAGAAAGACUUCCUUCUGUAUCAUUGUAUUGUGUAAUAUAUCAAUGAACGACUUCCUUUCAUAUCGUUGUGUUGUGUAGUAUGUCAGACGUCAACGAACGUCAUUCUCUUGUAUCAUUGUAUUGUGUAAUAUAUGAAAGAAAGACUUCCUUUGGUAUCGUUGUAUUGUGUAAUAUGUCAGACGUCAAAGAAAGACUUCGUUUUGUAUCAUUGUAUUGUGUAAUAUAUCAAAGAACGACUUCCUUUCGUAUCGUUGUAUUGUGUAAUAUAUCAGAUGUCAAAGAACGACUUCCUUUUGUAUCAUUGUAUUGUGUAAUAUAUCAGACACGUCAAAGAAAGACUUCGUUUUGUAUCGUUGUAUUGUGCAAUAUAUCAGACAUCAAAGAAAGACUUCGUUUUGUAUCAUUGUAUUGUGUAAUAUGUCAGACGUCAAAGAAAGACUUCCUUCUGUAUCACUGUAUUGAGCAAUAUAUGAGACGUCAAAGAAAGACUUCGUUUUGUAUCGUUGUAUUGUGUAAUAUAUCAAAGAAAGACUUCGUUUUGUAUCAUUGUUUUGUGUAAUAUGUCAGACGUCAAGGAAAGAGUUCCUUUUGUAUCGUUGUAUUGAGCAAUAUAUGAGACGUCAAAGAAAGACUUCGUUUUGUUUUGUUGUAUUGUGCAAUAUAUCAGACGUCAAAGAAAGACUUCGUUUUGUAUCAUUGUAUUGUGUAAUAUAUCAAAGAAAGACUUCGUUUUGUAUCAUUGUAUUGUGUAAUAUGUCAGACGUCAAAAAAAGACUUCGUUUCGUAUCAUUGUUUUGUGUAAUAUGUCAGACGUCAAGGAAAGAGUUCCUUUUGUAUCGUUGUAUUGAGCAAUAUAUGAGACGUCAAAGAAAGACUUCCAUCUGUAUCAUUGUAUUGUGUUAUAUAUCAGACGUCAAAGAACGACUUCCUUCUGUAUCACUGUAUUGUGUAAUAUAUCA